rnacentral:rRNA from 1 species
GACGAACGCUGGCGGCGUGCUUAACACAUGCAAGUCGAACGGAAAGGCCCUUCGGGGUACUCGAGUGGCGAACGGGUGAGUAACACGUGGGUGAUCUGCCCUGCACUUUGUGAUAAGCCUGGGAAACUGGGUCUAAUACCGAAUAGGACCACGCGCUUCAUGGUGUGUGGUGGAAAGCUUUUGCGGUGUGGGAUGGGCCCGCGGCCUAUCAGCUUGCUGGUGGGGUAAUGGCCUACCAAGGCGACGACGGGUAGCCGGCCUGAGAGGGUGACCGGCCACACUGGGACUGAGAUACGGCCCAGACUCCUACGGGAGGCAGCAGUGGGGAAUACUGCACAAUGGGCGCAAGCCUGAUGCAGCGACGCCGCGUGAGGGAUGACGGCCUUCGGGUUGUAAACCUCUUUCACCAGGGACGAAGCGUAAGUGACGGUACCUGGAGAAGAAGCACCGGCCAACUACGUG